CCUACGGGUGGCAGCAGUGAGGAAUAUUGGUCAAUGGGCGGGAGCCUGAACCAGCCAAGUCGCGUGAGGGAAGACGGUCCUAUGGAUUGUAACCCUCUUUAGGCGGGGAGCAAUGCCGGGCACGCGUGCCCGGAGGGAGAGUACCCGCAGAAUAAGCAUCGGCUAACUCCGUGCCAGCAGCCGCGGUAAUACGGAGGAUGCGAGCGUUAUCCGGAUUUAUUGGGUUAAAAGGGUGCGUAGGCGGAUUUUUAAGUCAGCGGUAAAAGGUCCGGGCUCAACCCGGGCCGGCCGUUGAAACUGGGGAUCUUGAGUGGGCGAGAAGUAUGCGGAAUGCGUGGUGUAGCGGUGAAAUGCAUAGAUAUCACGCAGAACUCCGAUUGCGAAGGCAGCAUACCGGCGCCCGACUGACGCUGAGGCACGAAAGCGUGGGGAUCGAACAGGAUUAGAUACCCCAGUAGUC
rnacentral:rRNA from 1 species